AUGCCCACCCAGGCUCUGCCUAGGACCCAUAUCCUGGCAGCCAGAAAGAACUCACGGAUCUACCAAGAGGAAAGGAAUGCUUUUGGGAGGAAGAAAGGAGAAUGUCUAUCCAUGAGAAGGGACAGGAGUCAAAGGCUUAACGCUGAAUCCGGGGAAUUUAGAAGGAGCCAAGAGAAGAGGAAAUCAGAAAACCUCUUCCAAGAAAAAGUUGGGGUCUUGCUUGCUCUGUUGCCCAGCCUGGUUUGCAGUGGUGCAAUCAUGGCUCAUUGCGGCCUUGAUCUCCCAUGCUGAAAUGAUCCUUCCACCUCAGCCUCCCAAGUCUUUGGGAUUAUAGAUGUGAGCUACUGCACCUGACUAAAAUUGGUAUCUUUAUUACAUGUUUCUUUCUUUCUUUUGUUUUUUAAAGAAAGAUGGUCUCUUUUUAAUUGGUAUAAUGAAUACAACCCACUGGCCAAAGAAGAAAGAAAUAAAAGCAUGUGGAUAUAUAUGUGCAUGUGGUGUGUUUCUGUGUGUGUGUGUGUGUGUGUGUGUGUGUGUGUACUGUCAAGAGACUCGUAAUGUCACCUGAUAGGUGUACAGCUGCUUUUCAGUUUCAAAAACCCAUCUGUAAACACCAUGUCAUUUGAUGCUCAUGGCAAUUGUGUAGGAUCCACAGAAAUGGCAUAAUCCAACUGGGGCACAGAAAGAGGAGGAGAGAUCCCUAUUAGUCAUCAAGGGCAGUGAGAAAGAAAAUAAUGAGUCAAAUAAAAACAAACCAGACAUGAAAGAAAACAUUGAUAUCCUGGACUUCAUUAAAGCUUAAACUUCCGCUCUGCAAAAGACACCACCUAGAGAAUAAAAGACAUCACAGACUGGGAGAAUAUAUUUGCUAAAGACAUAUCUGAUAAAGGAUUUUUAUCCAAAAUAUGCAAAAAAAAAAACCUCUUAAAACUCAAUGAUAAGCAAAUGAAUAACUCAAUCAAAAAUGGACAAAAGAUCUGAACAGAAACCUCUCCAAACAAGAUACACAGAUGGCAAAUAAGCAGAUGAAAAGAUGCUCAACAUCACAUGUCAUCAGGAAAAUGCAAAUUAAAA
rnacentral:lncRNA from 1 species